rnacentral:tRNA from 1 species
CGCCGUGUCAGCACUGGUAAGCCCUGUUCACCUACGUUGACAUCGUAGGGGUCGCUGGUUCAAUCCCAGCCGCGCCCACCA